rnacentral:lncRNA from 1 species
AGUGAACCUGCAGCGGUGGCCAUGGAGAGGAACUCGUCGUCGUGGGAAAGUGCUGGUGCGCAAUCGCUUGCCUUUUUAGGGAACGCAACGGUCAGCGGUGAAAGAACGGAACUUCACCUUCACAUGCCAGAGAUUAGCAUACUAUGCACGGUCUACGAUCAAUGUCUGGGGCUUGUUGUUGCCGUAGCAGCCGGCGCUAUCCUUUGGAAAAUCAUGAUGUCCAAGAGUAGCCUCACAAAAAAGCCACAUAAACCAAAAUCACGGAGGCUGCUGUCUGGGGCUCUUCCGCCAGUUUUUCCAAAUGGUUGGAUUCCAGUGCUUGAGUCGACGGAACUUGUUGUAGGAAAAAUCG